rnacentral:rRNA from 1 species
AUUGAACGCUGGCGGCAGGCUUAACACAUGCAAGUCGAGCGGGGGAAGGUAGCUUGCUACCGGACCUAGCGGCGGACGGGUGAGUAAUGCUUAGGAAUCUGCCUAUUAGUGGGGGACAACAUCUCGAAAGGGAUGCUAAUACCGCAUACGUCCUACGAGAGAAAGCAGGGGAUCUUCGGACCUUGCGCUAAUAGAUGAGCCUAAGUCGGAUUAGCUAGUUGGUGGGGUAAAGGCCUACCAAGGCGACGAUCUGUAGCGGGUCUGAGAGGAUGAUCCGCCAGACUGGGACUGGGACACGGCCCAGACUCCUACGGGAGGCAGCAGUGGGGAAUAUUGGACAAUGGGGGGAACCCUGAUCCAGCCAUGCCGCGUGUGUGAAGAAGGCCUUAUGGUUGUAAAGCACUUUAAGCGAGGAGGAGGCUACUCUAGUUAAUACCUAGGGAUAGUGGACGUUACUCGCAGAAUAAGCACCGGCUAACUCUGUGCCAGCAGCCGCCGUAA